AACGAACGCUGGCGGCAGGCUUAACACAUGCAAGUCGAGCGCCCCGCAAGGGGAGCGGCAGACGGGUGAGUAACGCGUGGGAAUCUACCCAUCUCUACGGAAUAACGCAUGGAAACGUGUGCUAAUACCGUAUACGUCCUUCGGGAGAAAGAUUUAUCGGAGAUGGAUGAGCCCGCGUUGGAUUAGCUAGUUGGUGGGGUAAAGGCCUACCAAGGCGACGAUCCAUAGCUGGUCUGAGAGGAUGAUCAGUCACACUGGGACUGAGACACGGCCCAGACUCCUACGGGAGGCAGCAGUGGGGAAUAUUGGACAAUGGGCGCAAGCCUGAUCCAGCCAUGCCGCGUGAGUGAUGAAGGCCCUAGGGUUGUAAAGCUCUUUCACCGGUGAAGAUAAUGACGGUAACCGGAGAAGAAGCCCCGGCUAACUCCGUGCCAGCCGCCGCCGUAAGAC
rnacentral:rRNA from 1 species